GACGAACCGUGCGAACGUUAUUCGGAAUCACUGGGCUUAAAGCGCGUGUAGGCGGGCCGGCGCGUCGGCCGCUGAAAGCCCCCGGCUCAACCGGGGAAGCGGCGCCGAUACGGCCGGCCUGGAGGGGGGUAGGGGGACCUGGAACUUCCGGUGGAGCGGUGAAAUGCGUUGAGAUCGGAAGGAACGCCCGUGGCGAAAGCGAGGUCCUGGACCCUUUCUGACGCUGAGACGCGAAAGCCAGGGGAGCGAACGGG
rnacentral:rRNA from 1 species